rnacentral:rRNA from 1 species
GACGAACGCUGGCGGCGUGCUUAACACAUGCAAGUCGAACGGAAAGGCCCUGCUUUUGUGGGGUGCUCGAGUGGCGCACGGGUGAGUAACACGUGAGUAACCUGCCCUUGACUUUGGGAUAUCUUCAGGAAACUGGGGCUAAUAUCGGAUAGGAGCUCCUGCUGCAUGGUGGGGGUUGGAAAGUUUCGGCGGUUGGGGAUGGACUCGCGGCUUAUCCGCUUGUUGGUGGGGUAGUGGCUUACCAAGCCUUUGACGGGUAGCCGGCCUGAGAGGGUGACCGGCCACAUUGGGACUGAGGUAGGGCCCAGACUCCUACGGGAGGCAGCAGGGGGGAAUAUUGCACAAUGGGCGGAAGCCUGAUACAGCAACGCCGCGUGCGGGAUGACGGCCUUCGGGUUGUAAACCGCUUUCGCCUGUGACGAAGCGUGAGUGACGGUAAUGGGUAAAGAAGCACCGGCUAACUACGUG